rnacentral:rRNA from 1 species
CACGUAGGGGGCAAGCGUUGUCCGGAUUUAUUGGGCGUAAAGAGCUCGUAGGCGGUUUCGUAAGUCGGGUGUGAAAACUCUAGGCUCAACCUAGAGACGCCACCCGAUACUGCGAUGACUAGAGUCCGGUAGGGGAGUGUGGAAUUCCUGGUGUAGCGGUGAAAUGCGCAGAUAUCAGGAGGAACACCAACGGCGAAGGCAGCACUCUGGGCCGGAACUGACGCUGAGGAGCGAAAGCAUGGGGAGCAAACAGG